AGGCCCUGGCGGGUCGGGGCGCCGGAGGGCGUUCUGCGUAGGACGCCCUGGGGGCCGGGCACUCUUAUGUGUGGGUGUUAAGAGCGGAAGCCCCCGAGGGGGGAAGGGACCGCGUCUCAGACGGGCGUGGGUGGGAUGCCUCACAGGGGUUGAAGGGCUACCCUGGCUAUGCCUUUCUCGGAGUGAGGAUCCACCCCGGCCGGACCGAACGAGGACCCUUCCCCUCGGGGGCACCCGGGUCCACGAUUAUGGGGGUAAUCCGUACUUAGGGCGUGCGCUGCUUGUGCCCGGCUGCACUCCCAUUCCAAGGCGGGAGGCGGAACUUGUCUAGCUCUCCUGUGCCCUGUGCUGAUCCUCCAGUAUCUGCUUGCCUAAUAAUGUGAUUUACCGUGUGUCCUGUGAUUUUGAUAUCUCUUCCCCGGCUGCCUUCUUGCGCCGUGGGUGUGCAUACCACUUCUGCUUGCUGUCGGUGGCAACUCAUCACGUUAAGUCAAAUUCCCCCCUGUGUUCUAUGGUAUUAACUCGGAUUCACGCACCCUUACUCCGGUGGUCCGUCCCCUCAUACCCCUGCUAUUACAUUACCCCUUACUUCCCUUCUCUGUUUCAUUGAACUUCAUUUCUCUUCCCUUAUAAGUCACCUAAUUCUUACGUCUUUGUGAUUAUCCUGGAGCAUUACCUUUACCCUUGUAGUAAUUUCCCCCCUCAAAGUAUUGACAAUUGCCUCAGGCCGCUUGUAUGAUUGCCUUUCCACGGGCCUGGGGUGGGAGGUCAUGCGUGCUUGU
rnacentral:rRNA from 1 species